UACAGAGGGGGCAAGCGUUGUUCGGAAUUACUGGGCGUAAAGGGCGCGUAGGCGGCCUGUUAAGUCGAACGUGAAAUCCCCGGGCUCAACCCGGGAACUGCGUCCGAUACUGGCAGGCUUGAAUCCGGGAGAGGGAUGUGGAAUUCCCGGUGUAGCGGUGAAAUGCGCAGAUAUCGGGAGGAACACCAAUGGCGAAGGCAGCUUGCUGGGACGGUACUGACGCUGAGACGCGAAAGCGUGGGGAGCAAACAGG
rnacentral:rRNA from 1 species